UACGGAGGGUGCAAGCGUUGUCCGGAUUUAUUGGGUUUAAAGGGUGCGUAGGCGGCCAUUUAAGUCUGGGGUGAAAGCCCGUUGCUCAACAACGGAACUGCCCUGGAAACUGGAUGGCUUGAGUACAGACGAGGGUGGCGGAAUGGAUGCUGUAGCGGUGAAAUGCAUAGAUAGCAUCCAGAACCCCCGAUUGCGAAGCAGCUGCCUAGACUGUAACUACUGAGGCACGAAAGCGUGGGGAGCGAACAGG
rnacentral:rRNA from 1 species